rnacentral:sRNA from 1 species
UUGUCAGCAAUGGAGAUUCACAUUGUCUAUUCAUUUGCAGAUUGGAUACAGCACAAGCAUCAGCAGUGCAAAUUUUCUCACCCCGGCCAACUAAUGUUCCUCAACUGUGACCAGGAAGAACCACCUCUGGAAAGUUCAGUCCCCAACCCCAUUAAAUCCUUGGCCUCU